AAUAAUGACUUGAUGGCAGAUGU
rnacentral:piRNA from 1 species